GCUGUCUCCUCACCCAUCAGCGACUGCAGCUGCACUGCGCUCAAGGGCCAGGCCUCCUUCAGCAUAACCUACACUCCAGAUAUAAAGCACUCCCAGUGUGUCUACACAUCCGCAGAAUAAUUACCUAACGUGAAAUGUAACUCACCAUGAGUGACUUCAGGUGUUUGCAUGCAGUCAUGGUAACACAACCGACUGGGAGUCCAUAUGGGUGGAGAUGCUUGGUCACCCUGCUUAAAAUGGUACUGCUACCGAGCUGACCUGUGAUACCGUCUUGCAUUGCCAAAGCAGGAGAAGCAAAAUCAGCUUAUGAAACCCUGCAACACUUCAGUUCCCUCAAACACUAAGUCAAAGUCAACUAUGUUACAGGAGCAGGUGUUCAGUAGUUCAGACAACACACAAACAUUUUGAGGAAUGCUCUGAAGCACUAGGCGAUUCUACCCAUCUGUGGAGCUGCUUCUUUUGCGUGUCUUCAGGACCUUUUUUCUCAAAGAAUGGGAAUAUUCAGACACGUGAGUGUAGCAGAAGAACCACUGAACUGACUGCUUGGUAAACCUGAAAACUGGAGUUUCUUGGACAAAUGCUUUGCAGAAUUGGCAGGCAUGAAAAAAUGUAUAUAUCUUUUUAAUUAUUAGAGUCAGAAGAGCACUGGAUAGAUAAUGCUGGGUUUAUAAAGUGGUACACUUAUGAGGGGAAUUAUGAAAUUUUGGAUGCUGGUACAAAUAGUUUCCUCAGCUGCAACUUCACAUGGGGUAAUAUGAAGACACAGGCCUGCCUGAGGACAGUGACGGACAUGUUGGUCUUGUUAGACUUGAUAUAGAAGCGAAAAGCCUCAGGCAAGUCAUAACCUCAAUGGUCAUAAGAAGGUCCAGUGCUGAAACUAAAAAACUAUAUCAGAAAUAAAAUCCUUACACCUAUUGGAAAUGCUUGCA
rnacentral:lncRNA from 1 species